rnacentral:rRNA from 1 species
CCUACGGGAGGCUGCAGUGGGGAAUAUUGGACAAUGGGGGCAACCCUGAUCCAGCCAUGCCGCGUGUGUGAAGAAUGCCCUCGGGUUGUAAAGCACUUUCAGUGAGGAAGAACGCCUGGUGGUUAAUACCCAUCAGGAAAGACAUCACUCACAGAAGAAGCACCGGCUAACUCCGUGCCAGCAGCCGCGGUAAUACGGAGGGUGCGAGCGUUAAUCGGAAUUACUGGGCGUAAAGCGCGCGUAGGUGGCUUGAUAAGCCGGUUGUGAAAGCCCCGGGCUCAACCUGGGAACGGCAUCCGGAACUGUCAAGCUAGAGUGCAGGAGAGGAAGGUAGAAUUCCCGGUGUAGCGGUGAAAUGCGUAGAGAUCGGGAGGAAUACCAGUGGCGAAGGCGGCCUUCUGGACUGACACUGACACUGAGGUGCGAAAGCGUGGGUAGCAAACAGGAUUAGAUACCCUUGUAGUC